AAAAAGAUGAUAGAAAGGAGAGAAGGAAGCUUUGAGUUACUGCCUACGACCCCCACCUUCUGAUGUGCCGACGACUACAGCCCUCACACGAAGCUGUAAUGGCAGCCGACCUCCACCAGGCCAACUGCCUGACUAGCAUACUAACUGCUACCCUGCUCUUCCCACUUCUCAAAUUUGAAAGUGUCUGAGAUGUGGAGUAAGAGGGUUGAGGAUGUUUUUUGGAUAGUUCUUAAAUGCCAGUGUAACAGGCUUCCUUGAUAGCAGCUGGAUCAUGCAGCCACACUCUACUGAGCAAGCUCACUUCUGCAGCUCUCCUGAAAAGGUUUGCGAUUCAGUCUUUUCUGGCCAGAGUACAAAGAAGGAGAGCUGUAACCUAUGAAUGCAGUUCACUACAGGAGCAGUUUUUGCUUGCUACUGAACUAUUCACCAAGUCAGUACUUCUGCCAUUGACCAAGAAAAAGAAAACAUGAGGUGGAAUGUAUCAGAGUUAUGAAUAAAGGAAGAAGUGUCGAUUGGUGUGUUGCAAAGCCUUUUCAAGGUAACUUGACAUUUCAAGAAUAAGAAUGCUUGGACAAGAUCAUUCUGAACAGUAGCGCAGUACAAUGUGCUAGCUUCUCUCUGGCCAUGCAGAACAACAUGCCAGAAAUUUCAUCAUGCCUCAAAAUGCAAGCCAAAAGUAAGAAGAGGUGCUGCCUUGCUGACCUGAAUGCAGGCAAAAAUCGUUCAUGCAACUGACAGAAGCUGUGCUAUUUGUGAUACUAGUCUGUGCUAUUAUUACUCCCAGUUUACAGAUAAGAAAAUGGAAGAUGACUGAAUUUUUCCCUUGGGAUAUGGGGCAAGUAUUGAAGUAAGAGAGCUGGCUUUGGUCCCUCAACUCCUUCUCCAAAAAUACAGACGUGCCUUAUUGUUUCUAUGGAAGCCACUAGAGAACCUCUAGAGUGGCCAGUCAUAAACAUAACUGGAGAACUGACAUCAAGAUAAUCAGUCAGGUAAUGAAAAGGAUGUUGCAUCACUGUAAAACAAAACCAAGUUGGUGACCAGAAGGUGGUUACUGGUGAUUUAAUAAGUUACACUGGCUGAGCUUGAGUCUGACCACAGCAGGUAUAAAGAAAUGGGAUAUGUGAAGCUGGGAAAGAAAAGAGUGGGGGAACAAGAAGGACUUCCCACUUUUGCUGGUGGUAACUUCAAAAAUUGCUUGGAAGUUUUGCUUGAAAAGAAAAUCACCCUUUUACUGUUGAGGGUUGUGAAAUGAAUUGUUAUAAGGCCUGCUGGAGUCUUUUAUCUGUCAACUUCUACUGAGUUUACUCAGCAGGAAGCAAUAGUGGGAUUCCAAUACAACAAACUAGCUCUGUGCAUGCCCUCACAACUGACAUCUGUCACAUCACCCAAACUUCUUGAGAAACUGAGUCAAUGGAAGUAAGGUUGAGUUGAACACAACAGCUUUGUGUUGACUACAUGACAAUAGCCCAAUCUAAAAGGAAAACAAUUAUUAAGGGCUACAUAAGGAGCAACUGUUGCAUAGGAAUAACAACUUCAGAGUGAUACUGCUUAAAGAUGAAGGUAUUGCUGGAAGGAAAGGAGGAAAUGUACCCUAAAGAAGCAUUUUGUGUGGAAGGAGUAUUUCUCUUCUAGGCAAUCAUUCUAAAUAAAUAAAUAAGGUUCUAUGUACUGCUGGUAGAAAAGCCAUGUUCAAAUCAAAUGUAAAAAUAUUAAGUAUAUAAUGGCAUUGUAGCAGGCGUGAAUUUCACCCCAUUAAAACGGUUUUUCUUUGAAGUGUCAUUUCCCUUCAUUGGAGGGGAGGGACAGGCAGUACUGACUAUAUGUCCUAAACAAUGUAUAAAAUAUGUAUUCAAUUUACACUUGUAAUUAUACUUGUACAACUAGUGUGGGAAAGUUGUGCUCUGUACAUUUAGUCUUUGUGUUUCCUUAUGCUUAGUUUUUAUUUAGCAUUUUCAGAUGCUUGAGAGGAAGUAUAGAGGAAUAUAAACUAAAUGAAGAUCUUAGGAAGCCAGAAAGGCUAAAAGGAGACAGAUCAAGUGUCUGCCUCUUCCUCAGACUCUGAGGGAGUGCAAAGGUGAACCAGAAAAAUGAGGAUGUAAGCAAUCUAGCAGUUACACCAUGCUGCCUCAAAGGACAGAGAAGGAGGAUUGUUUACUUAUAAUGAACCCUCAUCCUGUUGGUUGGAACUGCCAGUCAGUCUACCAUUACCCUAAUACAGAAUAUAUAUCAGCCCAGAGGGAUUUGAGAGGAAUCCACCAUUCAUUUUCUUCUAGUCACAAAGCAGCCACCAACGGAAGAGCUGCAUUCAAACUGAUGAAAGGGUAGGAAAAAAAUUAUCAAUGGGCAUGGAUUCCUUUUGAAAAAUAGGCAUGGAUUCCUUUUGAAAAAUACAUCUCUUGGUAAACACUUCCCCAAAACCUUACGUGAACUACUUAACAAGAGCACACAGGUGACAUGCAGUGGCUUAGCCAGCCAGCCAAGAUCUGAAGAUCUAGCU